rnacentral:sRNA from 1 species
UCCGUAGGUGAACCUGCGGAGGGAUCAUUACACAAAUAUGAAGGCGGGCUGGAACCUCUCGGGGUUACAGCCUUGCUGAAUUAUUCACCCUUGUCUUUUGCGUACUUCUUGUUUCCUUGGUGGGUUCGCCCACCACUAGGACAAACAUAAACCUUUUGUAAUUGCAAUCAGCGUCAGUAACAAAUUAAUAAUUACAACUUUCAACAACGGAUCUCUUGGUUCUGGCAUCGAUGAAGAACGCAGCGAAAUGCGAUAAGUAGUGUGAAUUGCAGAAUUCAGUGAAUCAUCGAAUCUUUGAACGCACAUUGCGCCCUUUGGUAUUCCAAAGGGCAUGCCUGUUCGAGCGUCAUUUGUACCCUCAAGCUUUGCUUGGUGUUGGGCGUCUUGUCUCUAGCUUUGCUGGAGACUCGCCUUAAAGUAAUUGGCAGCCGGCCUACUGGUUUCGGAGCGCAGCACAAGUCGCACUCUCUAUCAGCAAAGGUCUAGCAUCCAUUAAGCCUUUUUUUCAACUUUUGACCUCGGAUCAGGUAGGGAUACCCGCUGAACUUA